AUUGAACGCUGGCGGCAGGCCUAACACAUGCAAGUCGAGCGAGCGGCGGACGGGUGAGUACUGUCUGGGAAACUGCCUGAUGGAGGGGGAUAACUACUGGAAACGGUAGCUAAUACCGCAUACCAGCAGAUGUGCCCAGAUGGGAUUAGCUAGUAGGUGGGGGAACGGCCCACCUAGGCGACGAUCCCUAGCUGGUCUGAGAGGAUGACCAGCCACACUAGAACUGAAGCACGGUCCAGACUGCGACGGGAGACAGCAGUGGGGAAUAUAGCAGAAUGGACGCAAGCCUGAUGCAGCCAUGCCGCUUGUGUGAAGAAGACCGUCGGGUUGGAAAGCACUGUCAGCGGGGAGGCAUUACCCGCAGAAGAAGCACCGGCUAACUCCGUGCCAGCAGCCGCGGUAAUUC
rnacentral:rRNA from 1 species